UACGGAGGGUGCAAGCGUUAAUCGGAAUUACUGGGCGUAAAGCGCGUGUAGGCGGUUGUUCAAGUCGGGUGUGAAAGCCUUGAGCUCAACUCAAGAAAUGCACUCGAUACUGGAUGACUUGAGGACCGGAGAGGAUAGUGGAAUUCCCAGUGUAGUGGUGAAAUACGUAGAGAUUGGGAAGAACACCAGUGGCGAAGGCGGCUAUCUGGACGGUUUCUGACGCUAAGACGCGAAAGCGUGGGGAGCAAACAGG
rnacentral:rRNA from 1 species